rnacentral:misc_RNA from 1 species
AUACAUAUACAUGUAUAUGUAUAUGUAUACAUAUAUAUGUAAUUUGCGCCCUUGAGUUAUUUCCUUAUCUUCCCUUUCUUUCUUUCUUUUUCUUCUUUUUAUUCUUAAAUCUUAACAUGGUAUCAAAGCUCUCGGAUCACUAGGUUUUGGUACUGUUUACGUGGUAAUGUUCACCAGUACUAUUCAUGACACUGUUCAUAUAAAUAGUUUUGUGAAGAUUUUGGGUUGUGCUAUCACUUUUCUUAGGAGAUUUUGGAUUGUGCUACCACUUUUCUGUGGAAAUUUUGGGUUAUUUUGUAUUGGUUUCAGUUCCUAUCUCAAGUAACUUCCAAUUUAUGUAUCGAUUACUAUGUUGCUCUAGAGCCAUUCCUAGCUGCUGCCUCAUUUGAAACUCUCUUGAAGGUUUGUUGAAAUUUGGAUAGCCACUGUAUUGCAGCCAUAUGAAACGUUUCGAUAAAAAUCCACCUACUGUUUUUGUUGUUUUUCCUCGCUGAGAUUGCCGAAGAGGGAAAUGCAACCAUAUAAGUUGCAUUUGUGUUGAUGUUUCCUCACCGGCCUUGCCUUUGGAGAGGAUUUGUCUUUUGUGCUGGUACCUUUGUGUAGGUGUUUCGAAUCUGCCUUGUGAGCUAUUGUGAGGGAGUUAUUGGCUUCAA